rnacentral:rRNA from 1 species
AGAGUUUGAUCCUGGCUCAGAAUGAACGCUGGCGGCGUGCUUAAACACAUGCAAGUCGCACGAGAACUCUUCUGCUUGCAGAAGAUAGUAAAGUGGCGCACGGGUGAGUAACGCGUGGGUAAUCUACCUCUGAAUUGGGGAUAACAUUGUGAAAGCGAUGCUAAUACCGAAUAAUAUCCCGAGAACUUAGGCUUUUGGGAUCAAAGGUGGCCUCUACAUGUAAGCUACUGUUUAGAGAUGAGCCCGCGUACCAUUAGCUUGUUGGUAGGGUAAUGGCCUACCAAGGCAACGAUGGUUAGCUGGUCUGAGAGGAUGAUCAGCCACACUGGAACUGACACACGGUCCAGACUCCUACGGGAGGCAGCAGUGAGGAAUUUUGCGCAAUGGGGGAAACCCUGACGCAGCAACGCCGCGUGAGUGAUGAAGGCUUUCGAGUCGUAAAGCUCUGUCAAGUGAGAAGAACCUAUCCCGCGUUAAUAUCGCGGGAUACUGACGGUAUCACUGAAGGAAGCACCGGCUAACUACCGGGGGCAGCAGCCGCGGUAAU